GCGAUAUCCUUCAUUCACAUACGUCACGUGGUACGGUACGAGAAAACUAGUCAAAAAGCGGUAGAUUUCGAGGGCACAAGAAAUACGUUGCUGUUGGCCAUCGCAUGCUAUCUGGUAUAGCUGGAUGUUUCCCCCCUCGUGUCGGCCAGGAAGUUGUUCAUAAUCGAACAAUAAAUCUACAUGGAGGUUCAGGGCGGAACCUUGCUCUUGAUUUUUUUAUGGAGCAACUUAACCAUAAAGCUAAAGAAAUGCUAAGGCACACACACGGCGUGUACACAUCAGGAUCAAUAGCCAGGUCUGGGAAGCUAUCAGGAUCAAUGGGGAUCAACCUUCGACAAGUUCUUCUCAGAGCAAAUAUGUCUUAUGCAACAUAUUGAUAGCGGUACAUCGCCAAAGUCUGGAAAACCACGGUUCCAAAGGUAUCAAGUCGAUGUCAAAAAGUUUACUGACGAAUUUGGAUACCUCUUUAGGGUAGUACAUGGUCGGACCAUCACAUGCCGUCGAUAUAAAGAGCUCAAUACCGAUCAGGCAAUGGCAAUGAAGAAGACACUUUGUGACUUGAACAAAAGAAUUGACAAUGAGGCAAUUUUUGCGAAUCUAAAGUUCCCUCAAUUUGGCGAUUAAAGGAAAAUGAAAUCCUUGUCUUUCUAUGACCUUUGAGCACAAAUCAUAGGACUAACCUUUCAGCAUAACUCAAUAAUUAUUAUACUUUGUAGUCAUUGUAAGUUGAAGGAUUUACAUAUUUUACUGGAAGUUUUGUGUCAAUUACUCAUUUUAUAUGAAGCUAUUGUGCAAAAUAGUGUCUACUGCUAGUCCCUUCAUGGAUUUCGUUGCACUUUGAAGGGGUACUCCGGAUUGAAACAAUAAUCUGAUAACAAAAAAUUGGAGGUAAAUUAUUAUAGCAAAACAACAAACCAAUAAUAAUCAAAAUGUGAUAAAAAUUUCGCCAAAGUUAUCAACUUACUAAGUUUGCCUUAUUUUAAUAAUGUAUGAAAAGAUCAAAUAUCUCCCUCAAGUUAUGAAGCAACGAUGGGGCUAAUCCUCUAGAUGAAUGUUCAGUCCAAGUUUUGAUAUUCUUUGAGCAGUAAAUGCAAUAAGUUUCGUUUCAUACAAUAAAAUGCCAAAGAAACCAUGGCAAGGCUAUGCCUUUUACUAAAUUUCAUAUUCAUGGACACAAUAAGAAAUGUUUCAUGUAAAAAUAUUCACAAAUACAAUGACAGAACGUCAUUUUAUUAUAUCAGAUUUUUUUCCCGGAUUUAAAUUCAAUCACUUUAUUCAUAUCAUAACAUUUUCAAUUAAGAGUACCAAGAGAGUUCAUUGGACGAAAAGCCAUGAGUUUUGUAAAAAUCCAUUAAAAUUAUUAAGGUAUGAAAUAAAGAAAGUCACAUAUUAUUUUUAUGGCGAUCUGCAAUUUGACAUGCACCAUUGCCUCAAACGGCAGGCAUUUUUGGCAACUCUACAUUUAUAUGGUAAUUGUCUGAUAAAACGGGACUUGUCAGAUGGUCUGAAUUCCUUUCAUGAAACCCUCCCCUUGAUGUCUUGGAGGCAUUGCCAACUUGAGGAUCUCUAGAGCUUUGACGUCCUCAACAUUCAAAUGCUCAAAAUGUUAUUAUUGUUUGUUGAAUUUCCUAACACUUUCAUUCAUUUGAUCGUAUACUUUUAUUUUUGUCUCUUUUUCACAAGCUUUUGGAGCAUAAGAUUGCUUAUGUACAGUAGACGAAUAAGCUGAAUGGUCAGUUCGACCUGACAUAGUAAAAUCAGUAAGUUCUGACUUGCAUGUAAAAAUUAAAAAGUGGUGUAAAGAAGCAAAUCUCAACAUUUUUGAUACAGAGAUAUUAUUUCAAGAAUUUUGUACUUGGUUAAGGAUGGUAUGGAAAAUUAGAUUAAAGAUGAAUGAUUUGUAUAUCGAAAGUUUGAUGAUGCUGAAAAUUUGACAUCAGUUUUGUAUACCUCCAGAUAUUUGAUCAUUUAAUAGUCACUACAAACUGACAUUUUUAAAGCUAAUUCCUAAGCGUAUUAUGGAUGAUAGAUCAUGCUUUGUGAACACCCAGAUAUAGAAAGCCAUGUCAUGUACAUUCACCACAGUGUGAUUUGAUUCGAAUGACAACAUGCUCAAACAUAAAGUUUGAAAAUAUGGAAUCUUUAAACGAAAAUUCGAUAUUAAGGAGAUUUUCAAUUGAAAAUUACACAUGGGAUUUGGCAACAUAAAUCAUAAUUUAAUGUGUUUCAAACUUUCACAAAAUGAUUUCUUUUUACGUACUAAACAGAAGAGGAAACAUACCGUCGCUUAUUUUUUAAUGCGAAAUAUGCUCCCUUGAUAAGGAAUAAUGUAAUAAUAAUGACAUAGCCAAAGUAUUUAAGCAAAAUUCAAAUGUACGUUACCAUGUACUUUGGGAUGGAAUUGCUUUAUAACCAUUUUCAAAAUUUUAGUUGAUGAAAAUGUUCAUAAUAUUGAGAAAAAUAAAAACUGAAUAAACAGUAUGAU